rnacentral:rRNA from 1 species
GAUGAACGCUGGCGGCGUGCCUAAUACAUGCAAGUCGAGCGAACAGACGAGGAGCUUGCUCCUCUGACGUUAGCGGCGGACGGGUGAGUAACACGUGGAUAACCUACCUAUAAGACUGGGAUAACUUCGGGAAACCGGAGCCAAUACCGGAUAAUAUAUUGUACCGCAUGGUUCAAUAGUGAAAGACGGUUUUGCUGUCACUUAUAGAUGGAUCCGCGCCGCAUUAGCUAGUUGGUAAGGUAACGGCUUACCAAGGCAACGAUGCGUAGCCGACCUGAGAGGGUGAUCAGCCACACUGGAACUGAGACACGGUCCAGACUCCUACGGGAGGCAGCAGUAGGGAAUCUUGCGCAAUGGGCGAAAGCCUGACGGAGCAACGCCGCGUGAGUGAUGAAGGUCUUCGGAUCGUAAAGCUCUGUUAUUAGGGAAGAACAAAUGUGUAAGUAACUAUGCACGUCUUGACGGUACCUAAUCAGAAAGCCACGGCUAACUACGUG